rnacentral:rRNA from 1 species
GCAGCCGCGGUAAUACGUAGGGGGCAAGCGUUAUCCGGAUUUACUGGGUGUAAAGGGAGCGUAGACGGUGUGGCAAGUCUGAUGUGAAAGGCAGGGGCUCAACUCCUGGACUGCAUUGGAAACUGUCAUACUUGAGUGCCGGAGGGGUAAGCGGAAUUCCUAGUGUAGCGGUGAAAUGCGUAGAUAUUAGGAGGAACACCAGUGGCGAAGGCGGCUUACUGGACGGUAACUGACGUUGAGGCUCGAAAGCGUGGGGAGCAAACAGGAUUAGAUACCCC